CAAUGACGAACUCGGAAACAUCUGUUGCUUUGUUCAGCAUCCUCCACCCUCAAAGUACUCAAGAAGACAUGAUUUAUUCGAUUCCUCAACCAGAGUACAUUACACUCGAAUAUGUCCAAGACCCAAUAAUUUUAGUGACACCCUCGGCGACGCUAUGGACUGUGUCCAUCUCAA
rnacentral:ribozyme from 1 species